UACGGAGGGUGCGAGCGUUGUCCGGAAUCAUUGGGCGUAAAGGACGCGUAGGUGGCCCGGUCAGUUCGUGGUGAAAGCGCGGGGCUCAACCCUGCGUCGGCCAUGAAUACUGCCGCGGCUGGAGCACUGUAGAGGCAGGCGGAAUUCCGGGUGUAGCGGUGGAAUGCGUAGAGAUCCGGAAGAACACCGGUGGCGAAGGCGGCCUGCUGGGCAGUUGCUGACACUGAGGCGCGACAGCGUGGGGAGCAAACAGG
rnacentral:rRNA from 1 species